CUUUAAAUUGAUUCGAUGCCUUGUUCGUUGAGGAAUUCGUCGUUCGCCAACUCCUUGCGGUGAAAAAUAUUCCGAAGCAAUAUUCAGUUGUGAGCUUGGACCAAUUAGUCGACAAUAGUCAUCGUUGUCAACCAGAACAAACUGUUGGUAAAAUUGUUCAGAUCGUAUGGACGAGAGGAAAGAUAUAUCCAGGACUAGUGCUGAAAAUAGGUGAUGAAGAGGGUAACCUGUCAGAAGAAGCAGAUGGCUUAGCAGAAGCAGCUGCAAAAAAUCCAACCAAUCGGAAGACGGCGACUGGUGGGAAGAAGAAAGGUAAAAAACGUAUAAAUGAAGAAACCGCCGUAAAAAUUGACCAAGUGCUAGCUGGAAUUGAAGAAAGAGAAAGAAUCGGAAACCAAAUCGAAGGCGAGCCCCCAAUGGAAAUUGAGGAGAAUGAAAACACCAAUGGUAUAGUCAACGAGAAUGCUAGUACGGAUAACAAGCUGGUGGAUGAUUAUAAAGUUUAAGAGGCUCAAAGUCAAAUACAGAGACCUGAAGCAACGAAUUCCAGAAACUAAUGAGGUGGAACUGUAUCCUGAAAGUGGCGUUACCCUCGCUUCAUCAGAUUUGGCUUCAAUUAAAAUGGCGUCGCCGAAGCCAACGAUACUGGCGAGAAAUUUAUUCCGUCGACUUUUUUCAGCAGCCGAGCUAUCAGGCCACUCGCUUCAGGGGAAAAAAUGCAAUGCAAAUCAGGACAAAGCAACGCUGCCAGCAAUUGACUCUGUCAGACGGGACGCAGUAAUAAGUAUGUUUGGGAAUUAAUUAAUUACAUAUGAAAACGAUUUAACUUAAAAAAAAUUGUAAUUAUUUUGGUGCUUUUCCAGACUUCAUCUUAAAAGAAGAGGGAUUCGACGGACCUCCAGCAACAGGAAAUCUUGCUGCGGAUAAAAUAUUUUUGAAGUCGAAAAAUACCACCAGGAAGGAAAUUGUGAAAUCUCUCUCCGAAUUUCUUCGUGAGGAAAACAAAAAGCUGGUAAAUCUUAACUAAUGAGGACAAAAAUUGUUUACAAAAAUUUUCUGAAGCCUAAAAUAAAGAAAAUUUUUAUGUCAAAUUUUUUAUGCCAAAUUUUUUCGCCAUGAAAAGCAGCCAAAUUACGACAUAUUCCUUUUAUGCAUAAAAUAUUGGACAUAAACACUGGCCAUAAUUAAUUAUGCAUAAUUACUUGGGUCAAAAUACUUUCUGCAUAAUAUAUUUGCCAUAAAAACCAGCCAAUUUACGACACGCGUUACUAACAUAAAAUGCCACAAUUUUUAUGCAUAAAAUGAGGUAAAAUUUUUAUACGGGUACACAGAAUUAAGGAAAUUUUAAGCCAUCAAACUCGAAAAUCGUUAGAACCCGAGAAAAAAAAACGCUAUUUCAUUAUAUAUACCGAUCUUAUCUAUCUUAAAAAUACAAAUUUCGUGUGAAUGGUUCCGUUACAAAAUAAAACGUCCUUGUUUGAAGGUUUCAUAAAUUUAAAAAAUAUUUACAAACAUUUUUCGAAAAAUACAUAUUUCUUUUUAUUUUCAAAGAAAUUCGAUCAUAAAAAAUCCAGAGGGUUAUAUUCAAAAAACAAAUUUUGUUGUAUAGUUUUUUUAAAUUCCGUUACAAAAUAAAGCGUCCUUCUUUGAACUGUAAGGUUUCAUAAAUUUCCCAAAAAAUAAAUAAUAAUUACGAAAAAUUUGUUUCUUAAAGCGCCGUAUAAAAUAUAGAAUUGCCCGGAAUGCUGACUAAAUCUUGGUCAAAAUCGGGCAAAAUGAAGGAAAAUGU